rnacentral:rRNA from 1 species
GGGUUGUGAGGUUAAGCGACUAAGCGUACACGGUGGAUGCCCUGGCAGUCAGAGGCGAUGAAGGACGUGCUAAUCUGCGAUAAGCGUCGGUAAGGUGAUAUGAACCGUUAUAACCGGCGAUUUCCGAAUGGGGAAACCCAGUGUGUUUCGACACACUAUCAUUAACUGAAUCCAUAGGUUAAUGAGGCGAACCGGGGGAACUGAAACAUCGAGUACGAAACCAGGAAUUCCCAGUAGCGGCGAGCGAACGGGGAGCAGCCCAGAGCCUGAAUCAGUGUGUGUGUUAGUGGAAGCGUCUGGAAAGGCGCGCGAUACAGGGUGACAGCCCCGUACACAAAAAUGCACAUGCUGUGAGCUCGAUGAGUAGGGCGGGACACGUGGUAUCCUGUCUGAAUAUGGGGGGACCAUCCUCCAAGGCUAAAUACUCCUGACUGACCGAUAGUGAACCAGUACCGUGAGGGAAAGGCGAAAAGAACCCCGGCGAGGGGAGUGAAAAAGAACCUGAAACCGUGUACGUACAAGCAGUGGGAGCACGCUUAGGCGUGUGACUGCGUACCUUUUGUAUAAUGGGUCAGCGACUUAUAUUCUGUAGCAAGGUUAACCGAAUAGGGGAGCCGAAGGGAAACCGAGUCUUAACUGGGCGUUAAGUUGCAGGGUAUAGACCCGAAACCCGGUGAUCUAGCCAUGGGCAGGUUGAAGGUUGGGUAACACUAACUGGAGGACCGAACCGACUAAUGUUGAAAAAUUAGCGGAUGACUUGUGGCUGGGGGUGAAAGGCCAAUCAAACCGGGAGAUAGCUGGUUCUCCCCGAAAGCUAUUUAGGUAGCGCCUCGUGAAUUCAUCUCCGGGGGUAGAGCACUGUUUCGGCGGCAAGGGGUCAUCCCAUUUACCAACCCGAUGGAAGCUGCAGAUACCGGAGAUAUUAUCACGGGAGACCUUACCCACGGCAGGUGCUAACGUCCGUCGUGAAAUGGCAGACCGCCAGCUGAGGUCCCAAAGUGAUGGUUAAGUGGGAAACGAUGUGGGAAGGCCCAGACAGCCAGGAUGUUGGCUUAGAAGCAGCCAUCAUUUAAAGAAAGCGUAAUAGCUCACUGGUCGAGUCGGCCUGCGCGGAAGAUGUAACGGGGCUAAACCAUGCACCGAAGCUGCGGCAGCGACGCUUAUGCGUUGUUGGGUAGGGGAGCGUUCUGUAAGCCUGUGAAGGUGUGCUGUGAGGCAUGCUGGAGGUAUCAGAAGUGCGAAUGCUGACAUAAGUAACGAUAAAGCGGGUGAAAAGCCCGCUCGCCGGAAGACCAAGGGUUCCUGUCCAACGUUAAUCGGGGCAGGGUGAGUCGACCCCUAAGGCGAGGCCGAAAGGCGUAGUCGAUGGGAAACAGGUUAAUAUUCCUGUACUUGGUGUUACUGCGAAGGGGGGACGGAGAAGGCUAUGUUGGCCGGGCGACGGUUGUCCCGGUUUAAGCGUGUAGGCUGGUUUUCCAGGCAAAUCCGGAAAAUCAAGGCUGAGGCGUGAUGACGAGGCACUACGGUGCUGAAGCAACAAAUGCCCUGCUUCCAGGAAAAGCCUCUAAGCAUCAGGUAACAUCAAAUCGUACCCCAAACCGACACAGGUGGUCAGGUAGAGAAUACCAAGGCGCUUGAGAGAACUCGGGUGAAGGAACUAGGCAAAAUGGUGCCGUAACUUCGGGAGAAGGCACGCUGAUAUGUAGGUGAAGUCCCUCGCGGAUGGAGCUGAAAUCAGUCGAAGAUACCAGCUGGCUGCAACUGUUUAUUAAAAACACAGCACUGUGCAAACACGAAAGUGGACGUAUACGGUGUGACGCCUGCACGGUGCCGGAAGGUUAAUUGAUGGGGUUAGCCGCAAGGCGAAGCUCUUGAUCGAAGCCGUGAAGCGGCGGCCCGUAGUAGCCAUAACAGUCCCUGGGUAGCGAAAUUCCUUGUCGGGUAAGUUCCGACCUGCACGAAUGGCGUGAUGAUGGCGAGGCUGUCUCCACCCGAGACUCAGUGAAAUUGAACUCGCUGUGAAGAUGCAGUGUACCCGCGGCAAGACGGAAAGACCCCGUGAACCUUUACUAUAGCUUGACGCAGACAUUGAGCCUUGAUGGCUGGCAGGAUGGGUGGGAGGCUUUGAAGUGUGGACGCCAGUCUGCAUGGAGCCGACCUUGGCCACCACCCUUUGUGUUUGAUGUUCUAACGUUGACCCGUAAUCCGGGUUGCGGACAGUGUCUGGUGGGUAGUUUGACUGGGGCGGUCUCCUCCUAAAGAGUAACGGAGGAGCACGAAGGUUGGCUAAUCCUGGUCGGACAUCAGGAGGUUAGUGCAAUGGCAUAAGCCAGCUUGACUGCGAGCGUGACGGCGCGAGCAGGUGCGAAAGCAGGUCAUAGUGAUCCGGUGGUUCUGAAUGGAAGGGCCAUCGCUCAACGGAUAAAAGGUACUCCGGGGAUAACAGGCUGAUACCGCCCAAGAGUUCAUAUCGACGGCGGUGUUUGGCACCUCGAUGUCGGCUCAUCACAUCCUGGGGCUGAAGUAGGUCCCAAGGGUAUGGCUGUUCGCCAUUUAAAGUGGUACGCGAGCUGGGUUUAGAACGUCGUGAGACAGUUCGGUCCCUAUCUGCCGUGGGCGCUGGAGAACUGAGGGGGGCUGCUCCUAGUACGAGAGGACCGGAGUGGACGCAUCACUGGUGUUCGGGUUGUCAUGCCAAUGGCACUGCCCGGUAGCUAAAUGCGGAAGAGAUAAGUGCUGAAAGCAUCUAAGCACGAAACUUGCCCCGAGAUGAGUUCUCCCUGACUCCUUGAGAGUCCUGAAGGAACGUUGAAGACGACGACGUUGAUAGGCCGGGUGUGUAAGCGCAGCGAUGCGUUGAGCUAACCGGUACUAAUGAACCGUGAGGCUUAACCUUACAACGCCGAAGCUGUU